UCAUAUGCUUGUCUCAAAGAUUAAGCCAUGCAUGUCUAAGUAUAAACACCUUUAUACUGUGAAACUGCAGAUGGCUCAUUAAAUCAGAAAUAAUUUAUUUGAUGGUGACCUACUACAUGGAUAACCGUAGUAAUUCUAGAGCUAAUACAUGCGUAUAAAGCACAACCUCCGGGUUGUUGCUGUAUUUAUUAGAUAAAAAACCAAACCCUUCUGGGCUUUGUGCUGAAUCAUAAUAACUGUUCGAAUCGCACGCUUACGCUGGCGAUAGUUCAUUCAAAUUUCUGCCCUAUCAGCUAUUGACGGUAGUGUAGUGGACUACCGUGGCAUUAACGGGUAACGGAGAAUUAGGGUUCGAUUCCGGAGAGGGAGCCUGAGAAACGGCUACCACAUCCAAGGAAGGCAGCAGGCGCGCAAAUUACCCAAUCCCGACACGGGGAGGUAGUGACAAGAAAUAGCGAUUCCGGGUCUUUAUAGAUCUGGUUAUUGCAAUGGACGUAUUGUAAAUGCCUACGUGAGUAUCC
rnacentral:rRNA from 1 species